CAGAAUUAAAUAGUGAAAGGUCGAUAUUUAGAAAAUUGUCACAUGUACCCAUAUGUUGCCUGUGAGCUGAUAUUUACAUUAUUGUUUUAUUCCAGGUUUCCAAAAGUAAGUGUAAUGUGAGAGUUUCAUGAUGCUAAAUAAACUGAAACGUGAUACAUAUUUUGAUGGAUUGUCCUUGAGAGCAGGCUGGUGAGACCUUCAGAUAGAAAAUGCAGUUGAAAGAUAUUUCAUAAAGGAAGAAAAGAAGUAUGAAGACAGGAUAGCAAAUACAGAAAGAAUUCUUGUGAUAAUAGAGAACACAGAACUGUUGAAUGGUGUUGAAGCUGAGCUGGAGAGAGUCACGAAGCUGGCGCGGAAGCUGGCAAGGUCGGAGAGUUUCCUGCCUGGGCACAGCUUGAGCUCACCCCUGCGCCACCGCCAGUGGCAGAAACUGCAGACCCAGCUGGGGCCCUGAGGCCUCCGCCCCAUCCUCCCACCAGCCAGGAGCUGUGCUGAGGUCGCAGAUAGGCGACCCCUGGAGGGGUGCGCCUGAGGGAAGGCGGCCCAUGUUCCGGACAGCAGCAGGACACCAGGAUCCAGGGACCCACCUCCCGCCGCGGGAACCCCAAACCUUGCCUGGCGCCCCUUGCUUGCUCCGCCUGGCCUCCAGA
rnacentral:lncRNA from 1 species